UACGUAGGGACCAAGCGUUGUUCGGAUUUACUGGGCGUAAAGGGCGCGUAGGCGGCAAAUUAAGUCAUCUGUGAAAUCUCCGAGCUUAACUCGGAACGGUCAGGUGAUACUGAUCUGCUAGAGUGCGGAAGGGGCAAUCGGAAUUCUUGGUGUAGCGGUGAAAUGCGUAGAUAUCAAGAGGAACACCUGAGGUGAAGACGGGUUGCUGGGCCGACACUAACGCUGACAGCGCGAAAGCCAGGGGAGCAAACGGG
rnacentral:rRNA from 1 species